AGAUCAUUUUGGGGACAAUUCCUUAGUAGCCCCUUAUACCUCACCCAUGCGUCAUAUAAAGAUUCCACCGCUUGUUGCUCGGAAUUGGCUAUGGCUUUCUUGAGUUU